UUCUGGCUCAGGAUGAACGCUGGCGGCGUGCCUAACACAUGCAAGUCGAACGGAGCGUACUUGAAGGAGACUUCGGUCAACGGAAGGGUAAGGCUUAGUGGCGGACGGGUGAGUAACGCGUGGAGAACCUGCCCUGUACAGGGGGAUAACAGUGAGAAAUCACUGCUAAUACCGCAUAAGCGCACAGUACCGCAUGGUACAGUGUGAAAAACUCCGGUGGUACAGGAUGGCUCCGCGUUGGAUUAGCCAGUUGGCGGGUAACGGCCACCAAAGCGACGAUCCAUAGCCGGCCUGAGAGGGUGAACGGCCACAUUGGGACUGAGACACGGCCCAGACUCCUACGGGAGGCAGCAGUGGGGAAUAUUGCACAAUGGGGGAAACCCUGAUGCAGCGAACCGCCGCGUGAAGGAAGAAGUAUCUCGGUAUGUAAACUUCUAUCAGCAGGGAAGAUGAUGACGGUACCUGACUAAGAAGCCCCGGCUAACUACGUGCCAGCAGCAGC
rnacentral:rRNA from 1 species